UUGUGUUUGGGGGGAUGUUUUAGGGUCUUCCUCACCUAAAGCAGCAGUGCGUAGAAAUGGAGCAAGUAUGAUUAAAAAAAGUUAUUUUUAUAAAACGGUCACUAUAUCCUGAUAGUAGU